rnacentral:rRNA from 1 species
UGGGGAAUAUUGGACAAUGGGCGAAAGCCUGAUCCAGCCAUGCCGCGUGUGUGAAGAAGGCCUUUUGGUUGUAAAGCACUUUAAGCGAGGAGGAGGCUACUAGUACUAAUACUACUGGAUAGUGGACGUUACUCGCAGAAUAAGCACCGGCUAACUCUGUGCCAGCAGCCGCGGUAAUACAGAGGGUGCGAGCGUUAAUCGGAUUUACUGGGCGUAAGCGUGCGUAGGCGGCUGAUUAAGUCGGAUGUGAAAUCCCUGAGCUUAACUUAGGAAUUGCAUUCGAUACUGGUCAGCUAGAGUAUGGGAGAGGAUGGUAGAAUUCCAGGUGUAGCGGUGAAAUGCGUAGAGAUCUGGAGGAAUACCGAUGGCGAAGGCAGCCAUCUGGCCUAAUACUGACGCUGAGGUACGAAAGCAUGGGGAGCAAACAGG